rnacentral:rRNA from 1 species
UCAGCAGCCGCGGUAACACGUAGGAGACGAGCGUUAUCCGGAUUUACUGGGUGUAAAGCGCAUGUAGGCGGGUUCCCAAGUCGGGCAUGAAAUCUUUCGGCUUAACCGGGAGGAGUGGUCCGAUACUAGGAGUCUUGAGGGCAGGAGAGGGAAGCAGAAUUCCCGGUGUAGUGGUGGAAUACGUAGAUAUCGGGAGGAAUACCAGUGGCGAAAGCGGCUUCCUGGCCUGUGCCUGACGCUAAGAUGCGAAAGCGUGGGUAGCAAACGGGAUUAGAUACCCCGGUAGUCCACGCCGUAAACGAUGGAUACUAGGUGUUGGUGGCCCUUUACCCCACCAGUGCCGAAGCUAACGCGAUAAGUAUCCCACCUGGGGACUACGGUCGCAAGACUAAAACUCAAAGGAAUUGACGGGGGCCCGCACAAGU